GACAGAUCUGUGCUGCUCCUCCUGUUUGGUGUGCAGGUCUUCCUGCUCACCGCUGCCUUCAGCUCUGCAGAUGCAGCCGCUGUGCUGAACAAUGAUGGAUGAGGUUAUCGGCCUUUUCCGGAGAGAUUGAACAACGUUCAGGGAAUGAACAGACCUAUACCCAGAUUUUAUGGCCCCCAGUGCAGUGAUUUUCAUGAUUGCUCUGGGUGGAAGAACCA